UCUGCUCCUAAAUUUCUUGAGUUUUCUCCUCAAUCCCAAAUACAGAGUAGGAAUGGAUUAAUGUGGAAUUUGUUUCAGAUUAAAAGAAACAAUGUAGGCUUCCUGUGCAGGCAAAUCUGGCUUUCUUCCUUAUGGAGGGUGAAUGAGGGCUCCAAAAUGAGGACAGAAAAUUCCCAGCCAUUCAGAGGUAUCUUGGAUGGGUAAGUGUACUUAUCACAUGUGCUAAGCUUGGAUGGGAAGGAGUAGCAGGACACACUGUAUUCAGAGUUUGAAGCCAGCCUGCAGUAAAGGAAAAAGGAGUUUGUUUGGAGAGGGAGAUGUCAUAACCCCUUCCUUUUGCUGAUGCUGAAGGAGCUGGAAGAGAAAGUGUCCACUGAGCCCAUGUUCUCAUUUUAGCUUGUAGCUGGCUCCUGUUGUGGGGAAGGGGUUAGGUUUGGUGGCUGCUCAUUACACAGAAAAUGUCUCCACCUGUGAUGGGCUGCUGCUGAGUAAUAGCUUCAUUUCAAAGCUGUAGUGGUGGUUGUGGCUUCAGGAACCACCCCCAGACCUGUAUGCAGCAAAGGACAAGUGUGACACCCCUCCCAGCUAAACUCACAGGGACUCAAUGUCACGGGAGCCACUGGCUUGCCCUUACAAGUAGACACGAGCUCAGCUUGCAGGUCUGGGCUGGCACACAGGAGCAGAGAGCCCUGUGCCCACUGCUUGAGCUGCUCCUGCAUUCCAGCCUCCCCACAUGCCAGGGCAGACUUCUGCCACCAGGCUUUCAUUCAGCAACAGCAGCUGGAAGGAGGAGAGCUAAUGAGCCAGCCUCGGGAAAGACCAUUGACAGCAAGUGUGAGAGCCAUCCCAUCCACUUCCUAAAGGGACAAGAGCAUCUCCCUGUCCCCAUGGUGCUCUGUCACAAGUACUCUGUUUGGCUUCUCAGCACAGUGCAGGCAGGACCCAGCAGUUGGCUGUCAGAAGAGUUGUACAUGGGCUCUGCUUCGUUCCCAGACCUGGACAGAAGAGAUGGAGAAGGGAGAACAGCUGUUUUCCAGGCUAAUUGUAAAGGAAGAGGAGACCUUGCCUGGACACAUUCCUGUGUAGCCUCAUCUGAAGAACAGUGGAAUUUGCCAAGCAGGGUCUGGGCUGAUCUUGUGCCUCAAGGUGGGAGCUGCUUCUCUCACACCCCAUGCCAGUGGGAGGACGGAGGAGAGUGGGGCCUCUGGCUGCAGGGUGAUCCAUGCUGUUCACAGGGGAAGAACAUCCACAGCUGAAAACAAAUCUCUUAUUUUGUGUAACAACUGGUGGCAAUGAGAAGCCACCCUCAGGUAGGACGUAAUCAGCCUGGCUCUCCCUGAGGUCAUGUCCUGGAAAAUGUCACUUCCUUGAAGAAGUCACUUCCCUGAUGACAAUGAGCAGAGGUGGCUCUGGGGCUGUUUUUAGUAGAGCUUCUGGAAAAACCAGUGGUUGAUGGACUUUGCAUUGCAAAUUCUGUGUUUUCCACAUCUCCCUGUCCAGGUUUGGCUUAGUAAAGACAUGCACAUGAAAAUAUGUCCCCUCUCAGACCUGUGUGCACUGCAUAUUCAGCAUUUGUUUAGUGAACAGAAUUCCCCUGACAUCAGGAGAAAUUUUAGCACAGAACAAGCCUGGAGCUCCAUAAACAUCACGAAAGAAACACAGUAGGUA